rnacentral:tRNA from 1 species
UCCCAGGUGACUCAGUGGUAAAGAACCUGCCUGCCAAGCAGGAGACAUGGGUUCCAUCCCUGGCUCAGGAA